UACGUAGGUGGCAAGCGUUGUCCGGAUUUACUGGGCGUAAAGCGAACGCAGGCUGGAUGUUAAGUAGGAAGUGAAAGGUUGGAGCUCAACUCUGACACUGCUCCCUAUACUGGCAUUCUUGAGUCUUGGAGAGGAAAGCGGAACGACACGUGUAGCGGUGAAAUGCGUUGAUAUGUGUCGGAACACCGAUGGCGAAAGCAGCUUUCUGGACAAGUACUGACGCUGAGGUUCGAAAGCCAAGGGAGCGAACAGG
rnacentral:rRNA from 2 species